UCCCUGGUGGUCCAGUGGUUAGAACUUUGCCUUCCCCUGCAGGGGGUGCAGGUUCAAUCCCUGCUUGGAGAA
rnacentral:tRNA from 1 species